rnacentral:lncRNA from 1 species
AGAAACACCGGGCUGCAGCGACGCCGGAAAACGGAUGCAGAAACUUGGAAGCUCAGAAAGUCCACCUUACAAACCGAAUUUGGGGGUCAAAGUGCAGGGCAACGCCCUGGAUAUUUCCUGAUGCGCCUCGUCCUGAGCUUUCCAAAAAGUCCAAGAACGUCCAAAUCCGAGUUGGUACGCAAAAGAUACGCCCGUUUUACUGAACACGGGUCAAACCCACCCGAAACUAAAAUUCUACUCGGACUCGGGUCCGAAACUGACUCGAACUCUUUUUUUUUUUUCGUUUUUUUUUCUUUCUUUCUUUCCUUUUUUUUUCUUUCCUUUCUUUUUUUUUUCAAAUUUCCAAACAACUUGAUCUCUAAACAAAAUUCGAUCUAUGAUGAAACACUUUCCAAAAGCACUCCUUAUUGGAUUCGGACUCGGAUUCGCGGCUGAAAACUAUAACUUGCCGACUCGGUGUAGGACUCGAAGAGGGACUCGGUGUAGGACUCGAUGAGGGACUCGGUGUAGGACUCCAAGAGGGACUCGGUGUAGGACUCGAAGAGGGACUCGGUGUAGGACUCGAUGAGGGACUCGGUGUAGGACUCAAAGAGGGACUCGGUGGAAGAUAUGGUGGCGGCGGAAGAUUAUGGCGGUGGUGUGGCAGGAAGUUUGGCGGCGGAAGAUUGAUGAAGGAAACCUGCGUCACACGAAGAACAAGAAAACCAAAAGCAAGUUCGAUCUAGUAGAAAAAAUCUGAAAAACGAUCCAAUCUAAUCCAGCAACUCGACACGAUUAAUGCAGCAAAGAUUCAACAAUGCAAAUACUAAUGUGAAAAUUGCAAAGCUCAGAUUGGUUCUAGGACAAGGUAACUAAUUCUAAUUUUUGUUUGGCUUUUUCUGGACGAUAGGUAAAAACAGAUCUAAACUAGGGAUAAACUGGAAAAAUCUCACCGAGCAACCUUAAGCUCUGAUACCACGUGAUACGGGUGCGGGUGGCCCGAUCUUUCGAUGAGAUUGAUAACUCUCGAUUUGGGUAGGAGGUGACGUUGACGAUCCGACUACGGCCUAGCAGGCAGUGCCUUAGCAAUCGAUACACCAACUCCAGAGGGUUAUUGAUCACGCGGGGGCACGAUCAACCUGACCACGAAGGUCUUUGUUCCUGCAAGCAAUCGAAGAACAAGCAAGAACAAGAUAAAUAGCGGAUGCAAUCUAAAAUUGCGAAUAUACUAUAUCAAACCAAUGUCUCAACGAGACGAUAAGUUGGGGUUCUGAAAGCGGUAAAACAGGUGGUCUAACCAACACACGCGAUUACACGAAGUAGUAGCGAUGGCUAACUUUUAACUAAACAAAACCCAAGGCUUCUUAGGGGGGGCUCAUGGGGUAUAUAAAGGAGGAGGGAGAGAUAUUUUCGUCCACCUUGAAUAAGGAGUCCGAAAUCCAACUCUAUCUCUAACUUUCCUAACAAACUACAACUCUUUAGGAAACAGAA